GACGAACGCUGGCGGCGUGCUUAACACAUGCAAGUCGAACGGAGAGGACCUGCUUUUAUGUUCUGCUCAAAUAGCGAACGAGUGAGUAACACGUGAGUGACCUACCCUUGACUUAGGGAUAACUUCAGGAAACUGGGCCUAAUGCCGGAUAUGCUCUCCCGCUACAUGGUGGGAGUUGGACAGUUUAGGCGGUUGGGGAUGGAUUCGCCGCUUAUCGGCUUGUGUGUGGGGUAGGGGCUUACCAGGGCUUGGCCGGGUAGCCGGCCCGAUAGGGGGACCGGCCACAUUGGAACUGGGAUACGACCCGGACUCCACUGGGAGGCAGGAGUGGGGAAGAGGGCACAACGGGAGGAAGCCUGAUGCAGCAACGCCGCGUGCGGGAUGACGGCCUUCGGGUUGGAAAGCGAAUUCGCCUGUGACGAAGCGUGAGUGACGGUAAUGGGUAAAGAAGCACCGGCUAACUACGUG
rnacentral:rRNA from 1 species